AUACGGAGGGUGCAAGCGUUACUCGGAAUCACUGGGCGUAAAGGACGCGUAGGCGGGUUGGCAAGUCAGAUGUGAAAUCCUACAGCUUAACUGUAGAACUGCAUUUGAAACUGCUAACCUAGAGUAUGGGAGGGGGAGAUGGAAUUAGUGGUGUAGGGGUAAAAUCCGUAGAUAUCACUAGGAAUACCGAAAGCGAAGGCGAUCUCCUGGAACAUAACUGACGCUAAGGCGUGAAAGCGUGGGGAGCAAACAGGAUUAGAAACCCUAGUAGUCC
rnacentral:rRNA from 1 species